GCAGCAGCCGCGGGAAUACGAAGGGUGCAAGCGUUAAUCGGAAUUACUGGGCGUAAAGCGUGCGUAGGCGGAUCGAUCAGUCAGGGGUGAAAUCCCAGAGCUCAACUCUGGAACUGCCUUUGAUACUGUCGAUCUGGAGUAUGGAAGAGGUGAGUGGAAUUCCGAGUGUAGAGGUGAAAUUCGUAGAUAUUCGGAGGAACACCAGUGGCGAAGGCGGCUCACUGGUCCAUUACUGACGCUGAGGUGCGAAAGCGUGGGGAGCAAACAGGAUUAGAUACCCGUGUAGUCCCUGUCUCUUAUAC
rnacentral:rRNA from 1 species